AUUCCUACGGGAGGCAGCAGUCGGGAAUAUUCGGCCAAUGCGCGAAAGCGUGACCGAGCGACACCGCGUGGGCGACGAAGAUCUUAGGAUUGUAAAGCCCUUUUGCCAGGGAAGAAUACGCUGGAGACAAUAUCAAUAGCGUUUGACGGUACCUGGCGAAUAAGCCGCAGCAAACUACGUGCCAGCAGCUGCGGUAAUACGUAGGCGGCGAGCGUUAUCCGGAAUUACUGGGUGUAAAGGGUCCGCAGGCGUCUUGUUAAGUUAAGAGUUAAAUCUCAAAGCCCAACUUUGAGGCUGCUCCUAAGACUGGCAAGAUAGAGUGUAGAAGACGGAAGUGGAAUUCCUGGUGGAGAGGUAAAAUCCGUAGAUAUCAGGAGGAACACCUGUGGUGAAGACGGCUUCCGAGUCUAUAACUGACGCUCAUGGACGAAAGCUAGGGGAGCAAACAGGAUUAGAUACCCUGGUAGUCCUAGCCCUAAACGAUGAAUACUUGGUAAUAGGGAGUACAUACUCUUUAUCGCCGAAGCUAACGCAUUAAGUAUUCCACCUGGGGACUACGGCCGCAAGGUUGAAACUCAAAGGAAUUGACGGAAU
rnacentral:rRNA from 1 species